ensembl:snoRNA
GGCCUCCUGGUGCUUACCACAGGCCGUGUUCUUACACUGACUGUAUAGAAAGAGGAGGCAAAGUAAACCUCCCCCAUAUACACAUCAGCCCAGGCCCUGUUCCUGGUCUGUAUUGUGAAGAGGGAGACAUGG